rnacentral:lncRNA from 1 species
GAGCCACCACAACUCCCCACCCCCCAAAUAAGAUUGCUAAAUUGUGAGGCAAACAUUUUCAGCAUUACUAGAUAGUGCAAAAUUGCACUUUAAUGCAGGUGCUCAUAAUUUACACCCAGAAUUGUAUGAGCAUUCUCAUUUCCAACUGUUGAGAGUUUCACAUCCUAAAUUCCUCCUAUUCUCAUGGGUGAUUUGUGUGGUCUCAUUUACCAAAGGAGCAGAGCCUUUUUUUUUUUUUUUAUAUUGAGUGUUUUCAUUCCUCCAGAGGACUAAACCUAUUUAUUGCCUUUGCAUAAUUUUUGUAGGGUGUUUGUCAUUGUCAUACUGGUUUAUAAAGUUUUUAUUUUGGUGGUAUUUGGUUUGAACCCAGGGCCUUUGGACUGAAAUACAUCCCCAGUCUUUUUUUAAAAAAUUAUAUAUUAAGAAAGACUCUCACUAAGCCACAUUAAACUUGAACUUGCAUUCCUUCUGCCUCAUCCUUCCAGAGUAUGAACCACCAUGCCUAGUCUAACUUCUAAGUUUUUUAAAAAUGUAUAUACUUAGCCAUUUAAUCCAUAAUUUGGUCUAUGUAAGACAAAGAUCUUUUCCCAGUUGUGGCUUUUAAUUCUGCUUACGGUACCUUUUGAAAAGGUGAAGGUUUUUACACUUGAUAGAGUCAAAUUUAUCAGUAAUUUCCCUUAUCAUUUCUACUUCCCGUGUCUUAUUUAAGAAAUCCUUAUUUAGUCUGAAGUCAUAAAUGUAAUCUUUUGUAUUUUUUACUAAAAUUUUAAUGUUUUUCUUCUUUAAAAAUUUGUUUUUUUGAUUAGCUUGUUUUUUAUUUUAGAAAUAUACAUCUAUCCAUAACUUUUCAAAAUGAAAGUUCACGUGGCUUAAUGGCACUUAUUGAAUAGUAAAUCCAUUUUUCACUGGUUGGUAAGGCCAUUUGUGUACUAUACCAAAUUUACACACACACACAUUUCUAGGCUCAGUGUUCUCAUUCACUGAUCUUUUUUAUCAAUCCUUGUACCGACAUUAAAUUCUUAUUUAAUCAGGCUUACUGAG